rnacentral:rRNA from 1 species
AUUGAACGCUGGCGGCAGGCCUAACACAUGCAAGUCGAGCGGCAGCGGGACCUUCGGGUUGCCGGCGAGCGGCGGACGGGUGAGUAAUGCCUAGGAAUCUGCCUGUUAGUGGGGGAUAACGCGGGGAAACUCGCGCUAAUACCGCAUACGUCCUACGGGAGAAAGCGGGGGCACUUCGGACCUCGCGCUAACAGAUGAGCCUAGGUCGGAUUAGCUAGUUGGUGGGGUAAUGGCCCACCAAGGCGACGAUCCGUAACUGGUCUGAGAGGAUGAUCAGUCACACUGGAACUGAUACACGGUCCAGACUCCUACGGGAGGCAGCAGUGGGGAAUAUUGGACAAUGGGCGAAAGCCUGAUCCAGCCAUGCCGCGUGUGUGAAGAAGGUCUUCGGAUUGUAAGGCACUUUAAGUCGGGAGGAAGGGCUGUAGGCUAAUACCUUGCAGUUUUGACGUUACCGACAGAAUAAGCACCGGCUAACUUCGUGCCAGCCGCCGCCGUAACAC